AGUGAACGCUGGCGGUAGGCCUAACACAUGCGAGUCGAACGGCAGCACAGUAAGAGCUUGCUCUUACGGGUGGCGAGUGGCGGACGGGUGAGGAAUACAUCGGAAUCUACUUUUUCGUGGGGGAUAACGUAGGGAAACUUACGCUAAUACCGCGUACGACCUACGGGUGAAAGCAGGGGAUCUUCGGACCUUGCGCGAUUGAAUGAGCCGAUGUCGGAUUAGCUAGUUGGCGGGGUAAAGGCCCACCAAGGCGACGAUCCGUAGCUGGUCUGAGAGGAUGAUCAGCCACACUGGAACUGAGACACGGUCCAGACUCCUACGGGAGGCAGCAGUGGGGAAUAUUGGACAAUGGGCGCAAGCCUGAUCCAGCCAUACCGCGUGGGUGAAGAAGGCCUUCGGGUUGUAAAGCCCUUUUGUUGGGAAAGAAAAGCAGCAGGUUAAUACCCCGCUGUUCUGACGGUACCCAAAGAAUAAGCACCGGCUAACUUCGUG
rnacentral:rRNA from 1 species